AUGUGUCAUCCCUGACAAGCCAGAAUGAGCCCGUCAAAGAUGACAUGAGUGCCAUCUAGCUUUAGGGUUAGCUUAAUCUCAAACAGGUUCAAACUUCAAAUAUCACGUGCACACCACCGGUAUGUCGCCCUUCACAAGCACAUCCACCCGAUCUCUUCAUGACCUCACCCCGUCGCCUCUCACCGCCGCCCCACCGACCCAGUCCUCGGAGGUGAGCAACGAGCAUUCCACUCUCAUCCCUUACUACCCAUGUUUUUUUCUCUUUGACUAAAACCCUAACUUCUCUUCUAGAUCUGGAAGCUUCUCUCCAUGCCCCCAUGGAGAGUUGUACCUCGCAAUUCUAAGACAAUCUAGAAACUUUUAGCUCUAGGAUUGUUCUUGUUGUUAUUUAGUGAUAAUUGACCUAGACAAGUGUACGAUAAUUAGUUCAUGUUGUUCAUGUGCUUCUAAAGAAAAAUAGUAUGGCAUAUAUCUGAAUGUAUAUAU
rnacentral:lncRNA from 1 species